AACGAACGCUGGCGGCAGGCCUAACACAUGCAAGUCGAGCGAAGCCUUCGGGCUUAGCGGCGGACGGGUGAGUAACGCGUGGGAACGUGCCCUUUGCUACGGAAUAGCCCCGGGAAACUGGGAGUAAUACCGUAUGUGCCCUUCGGGGGAAAGAUUUAUCGGCAAAGGAUCGGCCCGCGCUGGAUAGGGUAGUUGGUGGGGUAAUGGCCUACCAAGCCGACGAUCCAUAGCUGGUUUGAGAGGAUGAUCAGCCACACUGGGACUGAGACACGGCCCAGACUCCUACGGGAGGCAGCAGUGGGGAAUCUUAGACAAUGGGGGAAACCCUGAUCUAGCCAUGCCGCGUGAUCGAUGAAGGCCUUAGGGUUGUAAAGAUCUUUCAGUGGGGAAGAUAAUGACUGUACCCACAGAAGAAGCCCCGGCUAACUCCGUGCCAGCAGCCGCAGUAAAAC
rnacentral:rRNA from 1 species